CCCCCCCCGCCCCCCUCCUAGACGAUCCCUUGUUUCGGUGUCGUUGGUGUGGUUCCGGGACUUGAGCGCUUGGGUUUGACUCUUGGCUUCAUCGCUGACUAGCUGUGCGACCCUGGACGGGCUGAUCCACCUGUCUCUGCUUCCGUUUCCCUUGUGAAUGGGGUCAGCGAUCGAUCUUCCUCACCGAUGGGCAAGUACUACCGUGUUCGGCCUAAUGUGAACGCGUACUCGGCACCCAACACAUUUUCGCCGUUGGAUAUUCGAAGAUGGUUUGAGACGAGAAGAAGAGAAGGUCCCCUAGUGAGAAGUGUAGGACAGAGGGACUGUACCACCCGUGAGCCUUGCAGACAGUCCGGCCCGCUGCACGUUUGGGACGGAAAUCCGGUGGAGACGGCUCAGACGAGAAAGAUGCCCACUAAAAUGCUUAGGCUCCUCGUCUCCCAGAAACCAUUAAGGCGUCUCAUUUGCAGUUUGUCUACAAUCUUUUGGGCUCAUUGAAGCUUCCAGGUAGUGUCAUCUGUGAACGCUAAUAAAUCCCGUAUGUUUGUUUUCCUACCUUUUGGUCUUUUUCGAAACUGUGUUUAGUUAAAGUAUGCUAUUUAUACA